ACAGGCAGAGAGAGAUACCGAUAGAGAGCAAUAGAGGAAAAACAUCUUCGGUAAGUCGCUGAGUUAAAAGCAUCUUGGUCACGUGUUGUUACACGUGACUUUUCCAGUGAGAGAUCAUCAUUGUUUACUGCUCAGAAGGACAAUCUUCUCAUGCUUCUGAGAUGCAGUGUUUCAGUAGUGUGUGAAGGUGAGCUGAGGCUCGGGGACGUCAGGGGAACAUGUAAGACCGAACAGAAUUAGAAGAGUUGAUCACAAACGCAGUCCAGGGGUUUGAAGACUUCAGUGAGAUACCCUAGUCUUAAAUGAUCAACAUUUAAAAAAAAAAAAAUCAAUAAAAAACCUGGAUGUGU